UUUCUAUAAUCAUUAGUGUUAAUUGUAUGUCCCCUUUGCUUUUUAGGGUCUUCUGAGAAACAACCUCCCUUGAAGCCAACCACUGAAAUGAAAGAAUCUGUUCCAGAGAAAGCACUAGGAACGAAGGACUUACAAACAUCCAGACCAGGUAAAUACCUCUGUUGAGAAGUAGAAUCUCACUGUGUUAUCCAGGCUGAAGUGCAGUUGUGCAGUCAUAGC
ensembl:lincRNA